GAAGUGGCAGUGCAGGUUCCACGAGGCUGGGAGCACUGUCACAGCACAGCCACACAAGCUUUUGGUGAGAGUUUUGUCUAUGCUGUCAUCUGAGGCCUGGGUCUAGGACCUCCAGGGGAACCGAAAAUGACCUUUAAAUAGGUGAAUUCAAAAAGGCUCCCUGGGGUGCACGCUUCCUCUGGAGAACUUGCAGCAUGAUAGAAGCCAUGCCCCACCUGCUGCAGAGGGAGAUGAAUGGGAUGCUGGGACAAACUAGGGCAACCCCACAGUAUCUUGAAGGACAACACACCCAUGAUUCUGAAAGGUAGGGCACAGGCCCAGAACCAUGAGCAAGCUCCAUGGUGGGUUUCUAAGCAUCCUGUGUUCCGGACAGUCUCCUUUUCAUGGCAGUUGUCAAGGCAACAAAAUCAAAGGGUAAACGGCAUCAGCCUCACUGGGUGUCUCAACCUUCACCUACCAACUACAGGUACUAACAGUGUCUUCUCAUGUCUGGCAACAACAUCUCAGCUCUAACCCCAGCUGCACAGACAGCAAGAUGCAGAGAUAAGCAUAGCCCUCCCAUGGCUGCUACAGACAGGGCCUCUCCAUGGGCUGAUGAAGAAUUUGGAACCCCCUAAGGUACUCUCAAGUAGAUCAACCUUUAAAAAUAAUCUGCUAUUUUUAUCCAUUCCUGCAAUUUGAGUUUAGGUGCCAGUUGAACUAAGUGCCAGCCAAAAAGUCUCCAAAAAAAUGCAGUUUCCUUUUGUUUCUAAGAUAGACUGAU